rnacentral:tRNA from 1 species
UAGGGACUAGCACAGCGGCUAGUGCAACUGGCUUUGAACCAGUAUAGUGACGUUCGAUUCGUCAGUCCUCUGCCA